ACUAUUACCUACGGAAAAGUGAUAACCAUAAGAAUACAUGCAAUUUUAAGUCAUUAUAAUUUUUCAGAACAUUUUUCGCAUUUUUCAUUUAUGAGACUACAACAAUAAUUGGAAAGGAAAAUGUGGGAUCAUGAAUGAACGAAUGCAGUUCGUAUGCCACGGAUUUCACGUUAAUCAUCAGACAAAUCACAUUUUAGCGCGUCUGCGGCUGAGGACAAUCGUGGAGAGAAUUUUAUCUACUCACACGAGUUUGCGUGACGCUCAGUAAAUCCAUAUCCGUGAUUACUACACCGUGGACACAGGAACACUAUCAUAAAAAAAUGAGUAAGCCUUAUACGUGCAACACGCUGCCUAGUAUCCUUUUACUAACAAAAGGAAGCUCACAUUACUUCAAUUUUCGUUUCAUAAAAUCGUACAAAAAAUAAUUGACAGAAGAAUUAAUGGAUUAAUGAAUACGAUUUUAGAAUAAAUGGCACCGAGUUGUUUAAGAAGGAAAGUACUGAUAAUUUUGGAACAGGUAAGACUACAAAUAUUUUUAAUCUUUGGAAAACGAUUGAAUUAGUAUAAUCAGAAUCUGGAAAAACUACAAAUUCCUUACAAACUAAUAUAAAUAUUUUUACUCUUUGGAAAACGAUCGAAUUAGUAUAAGCAGAAUCUGGUAACAGUCUCUGCUUAGUACGGAGCGUUUGCGAUUGGAACAAUCGGUGGGAUUCGACCCAGACGGUGACGUCGGAGCUAGGCGCCCGACGUCGAUUCAUCAGCAACGAUAAGCUUCUUGAAAAAUUGUAUCUGCUCGUAUUAAUAUCACCGCUUCGGGUCCAGUAUCGGAGGAAAACGCCCGUGUUACACAAUUAACGCCCGCAUUCUGAAUCGAAUAUGUACUUCAUAUUCUUGAACUGCCCCUGGGCAUCCGUUUACCAACCAGGCAGCCAGAAACGCAUGGAAGCGAACACGUGGAAUCACGAGUAAAAUUGCCCGAAGUAAUGAAUUGAACAUUUAAAUUGAGAUCCAAGCAAUAUUCACUUUCUGCUCUCUUGUUCAUCUACGAUUAACAUUCCGUCCACUUAAAUCCGUUUAGGAAUAAUCAGAACUGAACUGGCGGUCAUCGAGCAAGCGGGAUCAUUUAUUACUCGUCUACUUAUUGACUGGAAGAUAUUCAACGAAGCAGCGCGUGUGAAUUCAUGCGGUGAACGUGAGACACGAUCAAAAGUCGACG